rnacentral:rRNA from 1 species
UACGUAGGGCGCAAGCGUUGUCCGGAAUUAUUGGGCGUAAAGAGCUCGUAGGUGGUUUGUUACGUCUGCUGUGAAAUCCUAGGGCUUAACCCUGGGCUUGCAGUGGAUACGGGCAGACUAGAGGUAGGUAGGGGAGAAUGGAAUUCCUGGUGUAGCGGUGAAAUGCGUAGAUAUCUGGAGGAACACCGGUGGCGAAGGCGGCAUCCUGGACCGGCAUUGACGCUGAGGAGCGAAAGCCAGGGGAGCAAACGGG